rnacentral:rRNA from 1 species
GACGAACGCUGGCGGCGUGCUUAACACAUGCAAGUCGAACGGUGAACCUCUUCGGAGGGGAUCAGUGGCGAACGGGUGAGUAACACGUGGGCAACCUGCCCCCGGCUCUGGGAUAACUCCAAGAAAUUGGGGCUAAUACCGGAUGUUCACCGCUUCCCGCAUGGGUGGUGGUGGAAAGGGUUUCCGGCUGGGGAUGGGCCCGCGGCCUAUCAGCUUGUUGGUGGGGUAGUGGCCUACCAAGGCGACGACGGGUAGCCGGCCUGAGAGGGUGACCGGCCACACUGGGACUGAGACACGGCCCAGACUCCUACGGGAGGCAGCAGGGGGGAAUAUUGCGCAAUGGGCGGAAGCCUGACGCAGCGACGCCGCGUGGGGGAUGACGGCCUUCGGGUUGUAAACCUCUUUCAGCAGGGACGAAGCGCAAGUGACGGUACCUGCAGAAGAAGCACCGGCCAACUACGUG